rnacentral:rRNA from 1 species
UACGUAGGGUGCAAGCGUUGUCCGGAAUUAUUGGGCGUAAAGAGCUCGUAGGCGGUCUGUCGCGUCUGCUGUGAAAUCUAUGGGCUCAACCCAUAGCCUGCAUUAGAAACUGUCGGGCUUGAGUAUGGGAGAGGUGAGUGGAAUUUCCGGUGUAGCGGUGAAAUGCGUAGAUAUCGGAAGGAACACCUGUGGCGAAAGCGGCUCACUGGACCAUAACUGACGCUGAGGCGCGAAAGCUAGGGGAGCAAACAGG